AAUCAACGCUGGCGGCGUGCCUAACACAUGCAAGUCGAACGAGAAAGCGGGGGCAACUCCGUGAGUAAAGUGGCGACCGGGUGAGUAACACGUGACCAAUCUACCCUCGAGUGGGGGAUAACUCCGGGAAACCGGAGCUAAUACCGCAUAACAUCUCUGGAACCCAGGUUCUGAAGAUCAAGGGAGCAAUUCGCUUGAGGAGGAGGUCGCGGCUGAUUAGCUAGUUGGCGGGGUAAUGGCCCACCAAGGCGAAGAUCGGUAGCCGGCCUGAGAGGGCGCACGGCCACCCUGGAACUGAACCACGGUCCAGACUCCUACGGGAGGCAGCAGUGGGGAAUUUUGCGCAAUGGGGGAAACCCUGACGCAGCAACGCCGCGUGGAGGAUGAAGUCCCUUGGGACGUAAACUCCUUUCGACCGGGAAGAUGAUGACGGUACCGGAUGAAGAAGCACCGGCUAACUCUGUGCCAGCAGCCGCCGUAACAC
rnacentral:rRNA from 1 species